rnacentral:snRNA from 1 species
UGACUACUUUUCUAAUUAAGUU